UUCAAGUUGUAUUUGAUAUUUUCGAAUGAAGUGAAUAUACACUCUUUGAGACCCGAGGAAUUUUGCAGCAAAAAUGCUCAUUGUGGGAAAAGAAAAAGAGAAUUGCCAUUGUAUGGUUGAAUUUGAGAAGAAGAUGAGGAGCAAAGCGGCGGCAGUUUUCAUGGCUUUUGGAACUAAAGGCGAUGUCUAUCCUCUUGCCGCUAUUGCGGCAGCGUUUGCUUGUGAUCAGGAGCAAUAUCAAGUAAUUUUUAUAACUCGUUCAGCUCACGAGGGACUAUCUCUUUCUCUAGCUAAAUUAUUCCCCACCAACCCACAGGCUGAUCAACCACCACCACCAGCGGCAGCAAUAUUCCGGCGACCCUAUCCCCAUGACCUCCGACCGACGAUCCACCAACUCCAACUGGCGGACUAAGGAGUAUAUCAGAUCUUGCCGAAAUUCGGUAAAUCUGCCCAUAGUAGUUUUUUAUUCUCAUCAACUUCAAGGUAUGAUCCACCACCCCGUUUUUUUCUUUUCUUGUCUUAUCUAAACCUGAUUUUUCCUUAAUGGAUUGCACGGCCUCUUAUUGUUGCUUGAUUGUUAACUGAUUAAAUCUGAUAUUGCGUUUGUGGAUUUAUUGCUGCUUCCUUAUAAGUACUACUGCAUUUUUUCUUUCCUACUUUGAACUAUAUCCUUGCUAUAGUUCACUGCUUCUUUUUGUUUUUGUCAUUCUAUUGCUUAGGGGCGGAUCUACUAAAGAGGGAGAGGGUGCCACGGCACUGGCACACCUCAACUAAAAUCGUGUAUGCAUAUGUUGUUUUUGUAUACAGAGAAUAUGUAAUAAGUAUAUAAAGUGUCACUUAAACUACCAAAAGGUCAUUUGGUGCCACUGGCUGAUGGUUGAAUCUCUGCCCUUAGGGCGCGGGAUCGACUCUUGCUUGCACUACUUUUAUAGAAUUAUUUUAUUUACAUUUAAGAAGCUUGGGAGAUUCCCUUCUCCCUUUUUCUUCUUUUUUUUAAUGUUUUUUUUCCUUGUUCCGCCUUUUCUUUCUUUUUCUUUAUUUGUUGUUGACUCUUUAUGAGUUCCUAUUGACAUUUUAAAUUUUAUUAAUUCUUGUAACCUCAAUCAAAAUCGUGUGUUUAUAGGUAUUGUAUGCAAAGGAAAUGUAAUUAAUAUAUAAAGUCGUACCCAGACAGCCUCUCUACUUCUUCGGAGGUAGCGGUAUGGAAUGCGUACAUCUUACCCUCCCCAGACCCUACUUUGUGGGAAUACACUGGGUUUGUUGUACCCAGACAACCAAACGGUUAUUUGGUUGCCACGGGCUGAUAGCUGAAUCUUUCGCCUUAGGGCGUGGGAUCAACUGUGUCUUGCACCUCGUUUAUAGAAUUAUUUUGUUUACAUUUAGGAAGCUUAGGAGAUCCACUUCUCCCUUUUUUUUAUUUUCUCUUCCUUGUUCUGUCUUUUCUUUCUUUUUUCUUUAUAUGUUGUUGACUCUUUAUUAGUUGUUCUUAUUGACUUUUUAAAUUUUAUCAAUUCCUAUAACCUCGAUCGAAAUCGUGUAUAAAUCGUGUAUAUAUAUAUUGUAUACAAAGGAAAUGUAAUUAAUAUAUAAAGUGGCAUCUGAACUACCAAAUGAUCAUUUGGUGCCACUGAUUGAUGGCUGAAUCUUCCACUCUUAGGACACGGGAUCGAAUCUUGCUUGCACCACUUUUAUAGAAUUAUUUUGUUUACAUUUCUGAAGCUUAGGAGAUUCCCUUCUCCCUUUUUCUUCUUUUCUUUUUCUAGUUCUCUGUGUUCAUUGUUUUUUCUUUAUUUGUUGUUGACUCUUUAUGAGUUCUUAUUGACUUUUAAAAUUUAAUUAAUUCUUGUAACCUUGAUUAUGGGAAAGAAAGGCGGGGGACAACCGACUUCACCGGAGAGCCCAAACGACAUUGAGGAUAAGUCCACCGGUCGACAAACAACUUCUAUCUACUGGUGCUUUCAUUAUGGAUCAGUUGACUUGUCACAAUUGAGUACUCACACACAACUAGGUCAGGCAAGCUUGGGAAGGUGAUCUGAAUCGCUAUCUAUGUGAUGUGGGACUGAUUACUGGCCAUAACGAACCUGACUCAGAACCUGAAAAAAAGGGUGGGAAGACCUUUGACUUGGGCUGGGAGGAAUUCGGGUUGCUUUUCUUUAGGACUUUAGUCCGUAGCAAGGCCCCUAAAAAAGGGCGGGAAGACCUUUGACCUGGGUUGGGGAGGGAUUGGGGUCGCUUUUCUUCAGGACUUUAGUCCAUAGCAAGGCUCGAAGACCUUUGGCUCUAUUUGAAAUAGAGCAGGUUUUCAUCCAUUUACCAUGUGGGUUGGAUUAGCAGUUUUCUCUAUUUUCUUCAAUGGUAGAAAAUAGGCAUGACUGGUUUUUAGAUAGGGAAGGAGCCAGGAAAGGUGGAGUUAGCUAUAAUUGAGACAAUUCGGAUGGACGCUAUGUAUCUUGUAACCUCUACCAUAAUAAUGUAUAUGUAUGUAUCAUAUACAUAGCAUAUGUACUAAAUAUAUAAAUUAGAACCUGAACUAUCAAAAGGUCAUUUGGUGCUACUGGUUGAUGGUUGAAUCAUCUGCCUUAGGGUACAGGAUCGACUCUUGCUUGCACCACUUUUGUAAAAUUAUUUUGCUUACAUUUAAGAAGCUUAGGAGAUCCCGUCUCCUUAUAUUUUUUCUUUUCUUGUUCUGUUUUCUUUUCCUUGUUCCGUCCUUUCUUUCUUUUUUCUUUAUUUGUUGUUGUCUCUUUAUGUUAUUGACUUUUUAAAUUUUGUUAAUUCUUGUAACCUCGAUCAAAAUCGUGUAUAUGUAUGUAUUGUAGACAGAGAAAUGUAAUAAAUGUGUAAAGUGGCUCCCGAAUUACCAAAAGGUCGUUUGGUUCCACUGGCUGAUGGUUGAAUCUUCCGCCCUUAGGGCGCGGGAUCGACUCUUGCUUGCACGACUUUUAUAGUUUUUUUUUGCUUACAUUUAAGAAACUCAGGAGAUUCCGUUCUCUGUUUUCUUCUUUUCGUUUUUUGUUUUCUUUUCCUUGUUCCGUCUUUUUGGCUCUACAAAGUUGGAAGGAGGCUUUACCAAGUUGGAUCAGCAGGAGGGCGAAGAGAAGACCAAGAACUUGGAGUGUUUCGCCCUUAGCAAUCAAGUGAGUUAUUUGGAUAUAGAGAAAUAGGAGGGCUUUUGAAGGGAUGGAAGAUUUUGUAAAAUUCAUAGUAGUAUGUUGUCUUUAGUUUCUUUUUGGUGUACUUAUGAGGUCCUUAACCAUAUAGAGGGUUGGAUAUCUUUUGUCGAGAACCGUUGUUUUGGUGUAGGGUCUCUUCUUUUGGCAUAUGGCUUGUACAAUGAAUUUCCACAUUGUCUGUAAACGUAUUUACCUUAUCAAAAAUAAUGAAGUUGUGGAGGUCGAGAUUAGGAUAGAAGGUUAGUAUGUAACUGAAAGUUGUCGCACUUUAUGUGGGAGGCAGGGGUAGCCUCAUCCCGUCUUCUCUUUAUUAGUAGUAGUAUUUAGUAACCACGUAGCUUCUUAUUCUCCAAUGUGUAUUACUGUCUGAUGCUUCAUUUACUUUGUAUCUUGCUACUGUACUGUCAUAUUUUCUUGCAGCCCUGCAUCAAAUACUCCUCUUUUGAGCUGAGGGUAUAUCAAAACAGCCUCCCUACCCCAUAGAGGUAGGUAAGGUCUAUGUACACCCUCUCAUGCAUAUUCACUUCAGUUUAUUCAUAUGUCCUCUAGCUGUGUAGCACUCUCUUGCAUUUCUCUCUCAAAUCUUAAUUUCAGUACUGCAAGUCUGGUAAUUGUUUGAGAACCUGCAGGAUCUUAAAGGGUUUAUCUUAUUACUAGAAGACCCAAGUAGAAAUAUGUUAACGAUGAUAUCUUUAUUUUGGUUUCAUCACUCCCAUCUUGAAGGAAAAGAGAUGACCAGAUUCAUGCCUCAUCAUAGUAUCAAAAGUGGCUGGACCAUAGCCAUGACAACUGUGCAGUUGAAGACUUAUUACAUGGUGAGAGUUGAAGUCCAUACAGGUGGCUCUGUGGCUGAUAACUGAAUAAAUUUUUAUUUGAUGUGGACUCAGUUAUGAAUGUUACAUUUUUAAGGCGAGAGCUUCCAUUCUAUUGGGAUGCAGCAACGACACACUUAAUUUUUCCAUUUUACCAUGCUUGCACAUUUAUUUGUCGCCAUUGACAGAUUUCAUGUAUCUAGGCAUAAGGAGUUUACUUUAUGUAAUUCUUACCGACUUCCAAAUAACAAUCACUAUUAUGUCUCAUUCCAAGCAAUUUGAGGUGACUCUAUGAAUCUUCAUUAUCUUGCUUCAUUUAAGCUCAUCUCAUCAUGCUUAGUGAUGUAAAAAUACUUAUUUCGUAUAUAAGAUUACUAACGUAUUACACAUGCACAUUACAUGAUAUAUAGAAUAUCAUUGCAGCUUUGGAAGUUUGUAUGUGCAAUUAGAGGACAAAAGCUGGGAUUAGAAAUUGUACAGGCUAGCCUAGGAGGUAUCUGCCACCUCCCACCAACAACAAAUACAAGUUUGUCGUAUUCUUGUGCUGAAUUUCAUGACAGGCCUUGUAUAUUCCCCUCUCCAUUGUCGUUAUUCGUUGGAUUUUAAUUAGAAAUGUUUGCAUAAAUCACCUUAUAGAGGUUUUUUAUAACCAUGGUGUUCGGACCAGCUUUCGCUCACCUCGAUUAAAUCCAGGAGGUAUCUACCACCUCGCACCACCAACAGAUACGAGUUUAUCAUAUUCUUAUGCUGAAUUUCAUGACAGGCCUUAUAUAUUCCAUUAGGCUGGAUAAGCAGAUGAAUUUCUUUUUUUAACUCAAAUGCUUCAGAUUUCUUUUACUUCAGUUUUUUGCCCGAGAGAACUUGAGGGUGCACUUGAGAGCAAAUAAAGUUUCUGUAUAUACCAUUUUCAUUGCCUCCCGUUGUUUCCCUCUUGAACAUUAUUGUAUGUGACUUUUUUUGACAGCUUGAUUGUGUGUAUUCUUAUCUUAAUCUCCACGAGUCAAGUACUGCAUGUUAUGCAGCCUAUGCCUUGGAUACAAGCACAAUUUUCAUUUGCUAUAACAACUUUCAUACAAAUAUUAAAACCAGUUUCAGUAUGUUGACGAGUUCUUAUUGAUAUUCUUAUGAUCAGGUAAGACAGAGUUGUCUUUAUCUGCUCACAAAAGGAAAAUUACCCAGAACCAUAGGUAUUACUGUACUUCGAUCGUUUAGGAUAUCUUCGGAGAUGGCUCCGUGGAUGGUGAUGUUAUUGCUAUUAAUUUCCUUGGCGAUAAGUUCUCUGGGCAUUUAGCUCUUCUAUAUCCUUUCAAUUUUUGUUUUAGGAGAGGAUAUUUCCUUUCAUCAACAUGAGAUUGGAAAGUAUAUCCCCUUACAAGGGUAGACAGUUUGAGGUGGAUGUGGAGGGGGGGAGGUUGUGAGAUUGCUUUCAAUUAUGUACAUGGGAAGUAAAGUUGUUGUCAACUAGAUGAGUGCCUCUGGUGUUAAAAAAGUGGGAGGAAAAAUGGAGCAAAGCCGAACAGAUUUAAAUGGUAUACAAUCAAGCGAAUUUUCGAAAACAUAUAAAACUGCCGAUUAACUGUGAGAGCCUUGUGAGAAUUUUGUGGUUGCUCCUUAUGGUGUUCCUUAUAAGCAGCAAGAGAAACUUUCUUGAUUCCCUUCUUUUGGCAACAAUUUUAUUGUCUUCACCUUUGUUCUUCAAAUAUGCAUCACAAGUUACAACAACUUAUGGCUCCUUCAACUUGUUAAUUGGUAGACCAUGGACUUGCUUCAUAUGACAAUGAACUUGAUGAACAUUUCUCCAAGAAAUUCUUGUUCUGGACAUACUUCCUUUCUAGUUUGUAAGGUAGACCUGUUUUAGGAAUAUGGAGGGAAUCCAAGCAUUUAAACUUAUGUAUGAAAUUUGCGCAUCUGGCUCAUCUUUCAUCUGUUCAUUCUGAAGCAUUUUGGGCAUUUGAAAUUUCUCUAGUGUCUGGACACAUAGGUUGGGCAUUAAUGCAGAAACUGUACUGCUUAUUUUUUUGACUAUUAGCUCUUCUCUCAUGCAAUAUAGUGUUCCUUCAUCAUUUGUACGGCAUUUUAGGAAAGAACAUCCAGAUUUAUAUAACCAUCCCCAGGAAGCUCACAAUGACAAGGUACUUGAUGAAUUCUGUAGCCACUCGGUGUAUUCUUUUACCGGCAUUUGUUUUCAAAAUUACUCCCAGUUUUCAUUUAAAAUGUACAUGUGAGUUAACACACAGACUUAUUAUGUGAUUUUAGUAAAAUCCCCUUACUACAUUUCAUAGCUUGUGCCCAUGCUAUAAGCUUCUGCAGUACUAAUACCUGCUGAUUGGUCUUGUAACUUUGUUUCGACCCUACAAGGUUGUAAUAUUACAUAAGUCCUUCCUGUGGAAUUAUCUUUGUUGACUACAGACAAAAAUUGCAUGAGUUGAGGCGUUUGCACACUUGCUGAUAGUAGGUUAGCUGGAAAGAUGUCAUCCAUUGGAUGUGGCCACUUUUCAGUGAGGACUGGGGCUUGUGGAAAAGUCUGGACCUGCAGCUGAGUGCCGUUCCUUUUAUGGACCCUGUAACAGGUCUUCCGACAUUCUAUCAGAGGCUUCCCUCUCCUCUACUAACAACAACAAACCCAGUGUAGUCCCAUAAGCGGGAGGGGGGGGUAAGUGUAUCAGACCUUACUCCUGCCGUGUUGAGGUAGAGAGGCUGUUUCCAAAAGAUCAUUGGCUCGAGUAACGCACAUCAAAGCAGUUAAAAGUUCCGUCUCCUCUACUAUUGUAAGAUAAUUGUACCAGCUACAAACAUCUAUAGAACAAAGGAACACUAUAGAGUUCUGGAAGUUGUUAUUUUAUCUUGUCCUAUAGGUUAUUGGAAUCUUGGUUCCAUGUGUUUAUUUUGUAACAGGGUAAUUGUUGUUGCACUUUCUAACAUCUUGUUGCUUGAUCCAUACAGAUUUAGCAAAGAAGUUGUUGAAAACCCUAGUAUGGCUUAUGAUGAAAUAUAGACAUCUCUUGUUAGUUCCAUGUGGAAAUUUCCUUGGCACGAGAAUAAAUGCCAAGAUAUUUACUUGCCCGAGUUCUGGGUUGAUCGGACAAGGAGAGGAAGACCUGACUGAUGCCAGUUCUAUAAGGGUCAACCCAUCUGGAAAGCGAUGUUGGAUGAGGGUCAGAUUGCAAAGAAACAGAAGCUCGGAAAUGUGUUGCAAGACUAGCGCAGGUCCUCUCACCUCUCUCUCGGAGCCAGGGAAGCUGCAGAACGCUAGAUCUACAGUUUUAGCCUUUAGGAGGGUCAGGCUGCCGGAUCCCUAGCUCCGGCAACAUCGCGAACCCCAUUGCAGGGGUAUGUGGGAGUCGGACAGGCCAGCUGAAGGCCCUGGAGCCAUACUUGAAGCUGGGUGAUGCAGGCUAAAGUGAUACAGGAGCUGCAGCUGGUCUGUUGCUGGAAAAGGGAGCUGCUCAUACUGGAAACCGUUAGAUGGUGUCUUUUGUCCCGUAUCCAAGAAGAACCAGUAUGGGUAAGGCUUGGGGGACUCUGAACAGCUCUAAAUUAAGUGGUUCUUUUGGAAAUGGGGCUGCUUUCUUACAACCAGACUUUUCAAAUCUAGUUUUUGGCGCGGACAGUGGCGCUACAGAAGUUCAGGGAGCUGAUUUAAUGCCUUUAGUUAGCCUCGAAGAUGGAAGAAACUUUACUAGGUAGGUGGGAGAUAAAUUCCUCAGAUUUGGGGAAUUUUGGGAGUGUUAUUUGAGGGAAAGGAGGGUCGGGUGUUAGAAUUGCUUUUAGACAUUGAACUAGAGGCAAAAGAAGAUAGG